rnacentral:rRNA from 1 species
AUUGAACGCUGGCGGCAGGCCUAACACAUGCAAGUCGAGCGAGCGGCGGACGGGUGAGUAAUGUCUGGGGAUCUGCCCGAUAGAGGGGGAUAACUACUGGAAACGGUGGCUAAUACCGCAUACUAUCGGAUGAACCCAUAUGGGAUUAGCUAGUAGGUGGGGUAAAGGCUCACCUAGGCGACGAUCUCUAGCUGGUCUGAGAGGAUGAUCAGCCAAAGUGGGACUGAGACACGGCCCAGAAUCCGACGGGAGGCAGCAGUGGGGAAUAUUGCACAAUGGGCGCAAGCCGGAUGCAGACAUGCCGCGUGUAUGAAGAAGGCCUUAGGGUUGUAAAGUACUUUCAGCGGGGAGGCGGUACCCGCAGAAGAAGCAACGGCUAAAGCCGUGCCAGCAGCCGCGGGAAUAC